ACUGGGUUGGCCGAGUGGUUAAGGCGUUGGACUUAAGUUCCAAUGGACAAGUGUCCGCGUGGGUUCGAACCCCACACCCCCUA
rnacentral:tRNA from 1 species